rnacentral:tRNA from 1 species
AUGUGCCUGUAGCUCAGUCGGUAGAGCAAAACCCUGUUAAGGUUGAGGUCGUAGGUUCGAGCCCUACCAGGUA